UACAGAGACUGCGAGCGUUAUUCGGAUUCACUGGGCGUAAAGAGCUCGUAGGCGGCUUGGCAAGUCGGGUGUGAAACCUCCAGGCUCAACCUGGAGACGCCACUCGAUACUGCUAUGGCUAGAGUCCGGUAGGGGACCACGGAAUUCCUGGUGUAGCGGUGAAAUGCGCAGAUAUCUGGAGGAACACCGGUGGCGAAGGCGGCAUCCUGGACCGGUAUUGACGCUGAGGCGCGAAAGCGAGGGGAGCAAACGGG
rnacentral:rRNA from 1 species